rnacentral:snRNA from 1 species
GGAUGUGAGGGUGAUCUGGUUGUGACAUCUGUCACCCCAUUGAUUGCCAGGGUUGACUUGGCUGAUCUGGCCGGCUAGGCGGGUGUCCCCUUAUUCCCUCACCGCUCCAUGUGUGUCCCUCCCAAAGCUGCACGCUGGGGUGAAGAGGAUGGCCUUCCCCAAAUAGAGACCAAUGGGUCUUCCUCGAGGGUAUAAGCUCCCCUGCUAGAACCUCCAAUCAAGCUCCAAUAACUUACUCAAAGCACUUUACAGUUGUCAUCUAGAGAAAUUGAAAAAGCAUUCAAGAGUACAUGGUAGGGGCCAGGUGGUGGCACUU